GGCCGCAAGGUUAAAACUCAAAUGAAUUGACGGGGGCCCGCACAAGCGGUGGAGCAUGUGGUUUAAUUCGAUGCAACGCGAAGAACCUUACCUACUCUUGACAUCCAGAGAACUUAGCAGAGAUGCUUUGGUGCCUUCGGGAACUCUGAGACAGGUGCUGCAUGGCUGUCGUCAGCUCGUGUUGUGAAAUGUUGGGUUAAGUCCCGCAACGAGCGCAACCCUUAUCCUUUGUUGCCAGCGGU
rnacentral:rRNA from 1 species